rnacentral:rRNA from 1 species
UAGUCCACGCAGUAAACGAUGAGUGCUAGACGUUGGGAACUUUAUGUUUUCAGUCUCGCAGUUAACACAUUAAGCACUCCGCCUGGAGAUUACGGUCGCAAGACUAAAACUCAAAGGAAUUGACGGGGGCCUGCACAAGCGGUGGAGCAUGCGGUUUAAUUCGAUGAUACGCGAAGAACCUUACCAACCCUUGACAUACUGAUCGCGGAAAGCAGAGAUGCAUUCCUUCAGUUCGGCUGGAUCAGAUACAGGUGUUGCACGGCUGUCGUCAGCUCGUGUCGUGAGAUGUUGGGUUAAGUCCCGCAACGAGCGCAACCCCCGCCUUUAUUGCCAUCAAGUCAUGUUGGGAACUAUAAAGGGACUGCCAGUGUAAACUGGAGGAAGGUGGGGAUGAUGUCAAGUCAUCAUGGCCCUUAUACCCAGGGCUACACACGUCCUACAAUGGCUGGUACAAUGCGUUUGCUAUACCGCGAGGUGGCGCUAAUCGCAAAAAACC